CCCAGUCCAGAUUCUUCAUCUUCUUGCAUCAGAUGUCAAGCUGAGGUAAAUGGUAAAUUCUAUCUCUCUAAAUAUAUGUUUAUGAGACAAGACAAGAGCUGCUUGCUUCCUUAUUGAAUAUUAAAUGUAGGUGAGUCUCAAGUGUUGUCCAAAUCAGAACCAAGAACAAAACAUUACAUCAAUUUUGUUAAUGCUACUUGUGUUUUUCAAGAUCUCACAAUUUUAUUUUAAAUAUGUUGAGAAACUUCUAUUUCCUUGAUUUUAGUGUAUUCAUUUUUUAUUUUAUUUUAUUUCCAUACAAAAAAUUGUUAAAAUAAUAAUAUAGGCAAUUCAGAUAUUUAGAUUUUUAUUUGGGUUGAAAAAUAGACUUAGUUUUUAAGUUGGGCUAAUGAAAAUUUGUAUAAAUACUAAGCAUAGACUCAGCCCGAAUUUGGCCGGCUCGGCCCACAAAUAGGUUUACUCAGUCGCUUACUACUAUUAUUGAGGUAACGUGCACCAUUAAAAUCUUUAUAUUUUUCACGUAUCUUUUUUUUCUCUUAUCCCUUCUUUUCUUUUUCAUGUUUUUGUCCUUUCUCAACAAACCCCUGCUUUCACCAAUUUCACUACCAUCUAUGGCUUUCCCUGAACACCAAACUCGUCGGUGGAUCUCCCAAGGUUGUCCCUUGAUUCCAAUAAGCCUAGCCCCAACCUUUUUGCUCCCAGAAACAUAAACCUAAAUCCAUUGAAGAUGAGAUAGCUAAACGAGCAGAGCAAGUCCAAGGUGUGAAAUCAAUGGUGGGGAUCAAAUAGGACGGAGUCGGAUCCGGAGGGAUGUAUCAGCAAGCAGGAGGUAUUGGUAGAUAGUUCAAGAAUGAACUCGUCAAGGAAAAUCAUGCUUUAAAAUGGCAGCUCAUCACCAUCGGCGAUGAAAAGCACCUCUGAAACAACCACCACCAUGACAACUACGACAGUUGCAAUUAUUGUUGCGGCAAUGACAACAUCUCCUCAUCCUCCUUCAUCGUUUCAGCGUAUGGAUACGUUACUUAAGACACAAUCAAUUUCCUCUCGCAAGGACAAAUGGUUUUAGUCUGGCUAUCAAUUGUUGUUAUCUGGUUUUUGUUUGGUCAAAAGUUGCAUGACCAUGGUAAUAUUUACAAACUCUACAAUUACGUUUAGAUAUUUGAUAAGUUAAAUCCAUUUAAGUUCUAACAA